rnacentral:rRNA from 1 species
CAGUAGCCGCGGUAAUACAGAGGGUGCAAGCGUUAAUCGGAAUUACUGGGCGUAAAGCGCGCGUAGGUGGUUUGUUAAGUUGAAUGUGAAAUCCCCGGGCUCAACCUGGGAACUGCAUCCAAAACUGGCAAGCUAGAGUAGGGUAGAGGGUGGUGGAAUUUCCUGUGUAGCGGUGAAAUGCGUAGAUAUAGGAAGGAACACCAGUGGCGAAGGCGACCACCUGGACUCAUACUGACACUGAGGUGCGAAAGCGUGGGGAGCAAACAGGAUUAGAUACCCCUGUAGUCCAUGUCUCUUAUAC